rnacentral:rRNA from 1 species
CUUGCUUGGGGUACUCGAGUGGCGAACGGGUGAGUAAUACGUGGGUAACCUGCCCUCUUCUUUGGGAUAAGCCCCGGAAACGGGGUCUAAUACCGGAUAUUCUGCUUCUGCCGCAUGGUGGGGGUUGGAAAGGUUUUCGGUGGGGAUGGGCCCGCGGCCUAUCAGCUUGUUGGUGGGGUGAUGGCCUACCAAGGCUUCGACGGGUAGCCGGCCUGAGAGGGUUAUCGGCCACAUUGGAACUGAGACACGGUCCAAACUCCUACGGGAGGCAGCAGCC